UACAGAGGGUGCAAGCGUUGUUCGGAAUUAUUGGGCGUAAAGCGCGUGUAGGCGGCUUGGCAAGUCGGGUGUGAAAGCCCUCAGCUCAACUGAGGAAGUGCGCCCGAAACUGCUUUGCUUGAGUGCUGGAGAGGGUCGCGGAAUUCCCCAAGUAGAGGUGAAAUUCGUAGAUAUGGGGGAGGAACACCGGUGGCGAAGGCGGCCACCUGGACGGUUACUGACGCUGAGACGCGAAAGCGUGGGGAGCAAACAGG
rnacentral:rRNA from 1 species